GCGUGUGUAGCUUCGUAAUGGUCUGUUAACAAUACUCCCCACCCCCACUGAAAGCUUGUCCUCAAGCUUGAAUUCGGGAAAUCGGUUGUUGAUGUCUGAGACACGUUCCCAGGAUGAGUCGGUAGGGUUUGUAUUCUUCCAAUGGAUCAACACUUCAUGUAUGCCCGCUCGAAUUCGUUGACCCAGAACAGUGAGAGGAGCUUGCGGUGCUGGGUCGUCCAAAGGAGGAAGGAUUGUAGCAGCAGUCUGUAAUCCGGAAUGGAAUGGUUUGAGUGCAGAAACAUGGAAAACAGGAUGUAUUUUGGACUCCGGAGGAAGCUGCAACUUGUAAGCCAUUGUUCCAACCCGUUCAAGCACCUUAAAUGGCCCAUAAAACUUGGCAGCGAGCUUUUGAUUUCUUCUUGUGGCAACAGAAGACUGUCGAUAAGGCUGAAGGCGCAAGAGAACUUGGUCACCCACUUGAAAUUCCAAUGGCCUAUGGUGGCGGUCAUACUGAAUUUUCAUCCGGUUUUGAGCAUCCAACAGGUGAGAGCGUAGAUGCUGUAGCAUUUCAUCCCGCUGUUGGAGAACAACAUCCACAGCUUCAAUAGCACAGCUACCUGGUAAGUAAGAAAGGAGUCUUGGUGGAGGCCGACCAUAGACUGUUUCGAAUGGAGUGGACUUGAGAGCAGUAUGGAAGCUUGUAUUAUAACAAAACUCAGCCCACGGAAGCCAGUCGCACCAUUUGUGUGGUUGAGAGCUGGUGAAGCACCUUAAAUACAUCUCGACGGUACGAUUAGUCACCUCGGUUUGCCCGUCCGAUUGUGGAUGAUAAGCUGAGCUGAAACAUAAUUUCGUUCCACACAACCUGAACAAUUCUCUCCAAAAGGAACUAGUGAAAGUAACAUCUCUAUCGCUGACCAUAGACUCAGGCAGCCCAUGCAAUCGAAAAAUGUUAUCAAAAAAUAAACGAGCAAUAGUGAUGGCAGUAUAUGGGUGAGAAAGUGCCAAGAAAUGCCCGUACUUAGAGAACCGAUCUACCACUACCAAGAUAACAUUUUUACCUUUGGAGUUGGGAAGCCCUUCAAUGAAGUCUAGUGAAAUAUCCGCCCAAAUCUGUUGCGGAACAGGCAGUGGCUGUAGUAAACCAGCUGGUUGCAAGGUCUGAGUUUUAUUACGUUGGCAGACUUCACAAGCACGAACGAAAUCUUGAAUCAUAUGUUUCAUGCCCCUCCAAUAGAAAUCCCUGGUAAUGCGAUGGAGAGUUUUCUGAUAACCUUCAUGACCUUGAUUGUGUAGUGCUGUCAUGACUAAUGUAACCGAAGGUGACUCUGGAGGAAUAUAAACUCGAUUUUUGAAGAACAGUAACCCCUGUUUAAAGCUCCACACAUCGGCUGCGGUACCAGCUAAUACUGUAGUAAUCAGCUGCUGAAUAUCUGACGAAGACUGUUGUUCCCUUCGGAUGUCAUCAAAUAAAUCAAGUUGAGGCAGUGAUAUAGCAUAGAGGCUGUGUUGGUCAACAUCCCGGCGUGAUAAGGCGUCUGCCACUG
rnacentral:misc_RNA from 1 species